AUACGGAGGAUGCAAGCGUUAUCCGGAAUCAUUGGGUUUAAAGGGUCCGUAGGUGGAUCGGUCAGUCAGAGGUGAAAUCCUGCAGCUCAACUGUAGAACUGCCUUUGAUACUGCCGUUCUUGAAUUGUCGUGAAGUGGUUGGAAUAUGUAGUGUAGCGGUGAAAUGCAUAGAUAUUACAUAGAACACCGAUUGCGAAGGCAGAUCACUAACGAUACAUUGACACUGAUGGACGAAAGCGUGGGGAGCGAACGGGAUUAGAUACCCCGGUAGUCCACGCCGUAAACGAUGGUCACUAGCUGUUCGGACUUCGGUCUGAGUGGCCAAGCGAAAGUGAUAAGUGACCCACCUGGGGAGUACGUUCGCAAGAAUGAA
rnacentral:rRNA from 1 species